rnacentral:rRNA from 1 species
UACGAAGGGGGCUAGCGUUGCUCGGAAUCACUGGGCGUAAAGGGUGCGUAGGCGGGUCUUUAAGUCAGGGGUGAAAUCCUGGAGCUCAACUCCAGAACUGCCUUUGAUACUGAAGAUCUUGAGUUCGGGAGAGGUGAGUGGAACUGCGAGUGUAGAGGUGAAAUUCGUAGAUAUUCGCGAAGAACACCAGUGGCGAAGGCGGCUCACUGGCCCGAUACUGACGCUGAGGCACGAAAGCGUGGGGAGCAAACAGG